rnacentral:rRNA from 1 species
GACGAACGCUGGCGGCGCGCUUAACACAUGCAAGUCGAACGGAAAGGCCUGCUUUCCCUUGUGGAUUGCGGGUACUCGAGUGGCGAACGGGUGAGUAACACGUGAGUGAUCUGCCCCCAACUUGGGUAUAAGCCUGGGAAACUGGGUCUAAUUCCCGAUAGGACUGCAGGGUGGUGCCUGUGGUGGAAAACGAUUUUCUAGUGGUUGGGGAUGAGCUCGCGGCCUAUCAGCUUGUUGGUGGGGUAAUGGCCUACCAAGGCGGCGACGGGUAGCCGGCCUGGGAGGGUGGACGGCCUCAUUGGGACUGAGAUACGGCCCAGACUCCUACGGGAGGCAGCAGUGGGGAAUAUUGCACAAUGGGCGGAAGCCUGAUGCAGCGACGCCGCGUGGGGGAUGACGGCCUUCGGGUUGUAAACUCCUUUCGACCGCGAGGAAGCCACCUGGUUGGAAGGGUGGUGACGGUAGUGGUAGAAGAAGCACCGGCUAACUACGUG